GGACCCGCACAAGCAGUGGAGCAUGUGGUUUAAUUCGAAGAUACGCGCAGAACCUUACCAACGCUUGACAUGUUCGUCGCGAGACUAAGAGAUUAGUUUCUUCAGUUCGGCUGGACGAAACACAGGUGCUGCAUGGCUGUCGUCAGCUCGUGUCGUGAGAUGUUGGGUUAAGUCCCGCAACGAGCGCAACCCCCUACUUUUAGUUGCCACCAUUUAGUUGGGCACUUUAAAAGAACUGCCAGUGAUAAGCUGGAGGAAGGUGGGGAUGACGUCAAGUCCUCAUGGCCCUUAUGUGUUGGGCUACACACGUGCUACAAUGGCACUUACAAUGGGAAGCAAAGAGGCGACUCUAAGCUAAUCCCUAAAAUGUGUCUCAGUUCGGAUUGUACUCUGUAACUCGAGUGCAUGAAGCUGGAAUUGCUAGUAAUCGC
rnacentral:rRNA from 1 species